AAGGCUUUAUCUUAAUUAAAGUGUCUGUUUUGCAUACAGAAGAUGUGGGGUAGUGUCCUGCAAGUCUUA
rnacentral:tRNA from 1 species